rnacentral:rRNA from 1 species
GAAUCCGGUUGAUCCUGCCGGACCUGACUGCUAUCGGAUUGAUACUAAGCCAUGCGAGUCAUUGUAGCAAUACAAGGCAUACGGCUCAGUAACGCGUAGUCAACCUAACCUAUGGACGGGAAUAACCUCGGGAAACUGAGAAUAAUGCCCGAUAGAACAUUAUACCUGGAAUGGUUUAUGUUCCAAAUGAUUUAUCGCCGUAGGAUGGGACUGCGGCCUAUCAGUUUGUUGGUGAGGUAAUGGCCCACCAAGACUAUUACAGGUACGGGCUCUGAGAGGAGUAGCCCGGAGAUGGGUACUGAGACACGGACCCAGGCCC